rnacentral:rRNA from 1 species
ACAAUGAAGAGUUUGAUCCUGGCUCAGGACGAACGCUGGCGGCGUGCUUAACACAUGCAAGUCAAGGGGAAAGAUUUCCUUCGGGAGAUCGAGUAUACUGGCGAACGGGUGAGUAACGCGUAGGCAACCUGCCUUUGUGAGUGGGAUAACUUCGGGAAACCGGAGCUAAUACCGCAUAAAGUUCUUUUAUCGCCUGUUAGAAGAAUCAAAGAUGCUUUUGUAUUGCACAAAGAUGGGCCUGCGUUCCAUUAGCUAGUUGGUGGGGUAACAGCCUACCAAGGCGACGAUGGAUAGCUGAUCUGAGAGGGUGAUCAGCCACACUGGGACUGAGAUACGGCCCAGACUCCUACGGGAGGCAGCAGUGAGGAAUAUUGCGCAAUGGAGGAAACUCUGACGCAGCAACGCCGCGUGGGGGAUGAAGCACUAUGGUGUGUAAACCCCUGUAGAAAGGGACGAAUGACAUGGCUUCGUAAGGGGUCGUGUUUGACGGUACCUUUAAAGUAAGCACCGGCUAACUCCGUGCCAGCAGCCGCGGUAAUACGGGGGGUGCUAGCGUUGUCCGGAAUUACUGGGCGUAAAGGGCGUGUAGGCGGCUCGGUCAGUCAGAUGUGAAAGCCCACGGCUUAACCGUGGAACUGCAUUUGAUACUGCCGGGCUUGAGUGUGAGAUGGGAUAGUGGAAUUCCCAGUGUAGCGGUGAAAUGCGUAGAUAUUGGGAAGAACACCAGUAGCGAAGGCGGCUAUCUGGCUCACUACUGACGCUAAUGCGCGAAAGCGCGGGGAGCAAACAGGAUUAGAUACCCUGGUAGUCCGCGCCGUAAACGAUGGAUACUAGAUGUUGGUUUCUUUAUUGGAAUCAGUGUCGCAGCCAACGCAUUAAGUAUCCCGCCUGGGGAGUACGAUCGCAAGGUUGAAACUCAAAGGAAUUGACGGGGGCCCGCACAAGCGGUGGAGCAUGUGGUUUAAUUCGAUGCAACGCGAAGAACCUUACCGGGGCUUGAACUGCUAGGUAAACCCCAUGAAAGUGGGACUGUUCUUCGGAACAACCUAGUAGAGGUGCUGCAUGGCUGUCGUCAAGAUC